AUGCCGGAUGGCCCAAACCAGAGAAAAUCCAGACAGAGAGAGGGUUGUGAUCAGUUUACGUGGUCCCUAAAAGAACUGCUUGGGUCCUGGUGGCUUUCUGUUUGCAGCUCCAGUUUCCUUGCGCUGUGGAUUGAGUCCUCAGAUUUCUUGGUAUUCAGCCAACCCCACUUUGCAUGGAGCGUGGGCAGAGUCUAGUCCAAGGCAAAUCUCGUGCUACCCAGGAGAAGUCACUGAGGAUAACACCAGGACUGUGGAGGGGCAGUGCAAGGUGCUGGUGAGGAAAAGGGGGAAAUGCAGACCAGAUAAUGAAGAACCAGAACAACCCGGAGGCAUCUGUACCCAGCAGAGCAUGAGCCCCGUGGAACCAGGCCCAGGCAAAUAUGUAUGUUCUUAAGAUGCAUGAAUAAAUGUUUAUUUUGAGAGAGAGAGAGA
rnacentral:lncRNA from 1 species